rnacentral:rRNA from 1 species
AUUGAACGCUGGCGGCAGGCCUAACACAUGCAAGUCGAACGAGUGGCGGACGGGUGUGUAAUGUCUGGGAAACUGCCCGAUGGAGGGGGAUAACUACUGGAAACGGUGGCUAAUCCCGCAUACCAUCGGAUGUGCCCAGAUGGGAUUAGCUAGUGGGUGGGGUAACGGCUCACCUAGGCGACGAUCCCUACCUGGUCUGAGAGGAUGACCGGCCACACUGGAACGGGGACAGGGUCCAGACUCCUACGGGAGGCAGCAGUGGGGAAUAUUGCACAAUGGGCGAAAGCCUGACGCAGCCAUGCCGGGUGUAGGAAGAAGGCCUUCGGGUGGUAAAGUACUUUCAGCGAGGAGGCGUUACUCGCAGAAGAAGCACCGGCUAACUCCGUGCCAGCAGCCGCGGUAAUUC